AACGAACGCUGGCGGCAUGCCUAACACAUGCAAGUCGAACGAGACCUUCGGGUCUAGUGGCGCACGGGUGCGUAACGCGUGGGAACCUGCCCUUAGGUUCGGAAUAACUCCCCGAAAGGGGUGCUAAUACCGGAUAAUGUCUUCGGACCAAAGAUUUAUCGCCUUUGGAUGGGCCCGCGUUGGAUUAGCUAGUUGGUAGGGUAAAAGCCUACCAAGGCGACGAUCCAUAGCUGGUCUGAGAGGAUGAUCAGCCACACUGGGACUGAGACACGGCCCAGACUCCUACGGGAGGCAGCAGUGGGGAAUAUUGGACAAUGUGCGAAAGCCUGAUCCAGCAAUGCCGCGUGAGUGAUGAAGGCCUUAGGGUUGUAAAGCUCUUUUACCCGGGAUGAUAAUGACAGUACCGGGAGAAUAAGCGCCGGCUAACUCCGUG
rnacentral:rRNA from 1 species